UCCGGUUGAUCCUGCCGGAGGCUACUGCUAUCGGGAUUCGAUUAAGCCAUGCGAGUCGAGAGGGUUCGGCCCUCGGCUGACGGCUCAGUAACACGUGGAUAACCUGCCCUCAGGUAGGGGAUAAUCUCGGGAAACUGAGGAUAAUACCCUAUAGACAUCCUUUGCUGGAAUGCUUGGAUGUUCAAAGGCAACGCCUGAGGAUGGGUCUGCGGCCUAUCAGGUAGUAGUGGGUGUAACGGACCCACUAGCCCGCGACGGGUACGGGCCUUGAAAGAGGUAGCCCGGAGAUGGACUCUGAGACACGAGUCCAGGCCCUACGGGGCGCAGCAGGCGCGAAAACUUCGCAAUGCGGGAAACCGUGACGAGGGAAUCCCGAGUGCUCAUACAAUGUAUGGGCUUUUCUGAUGUGUAAAAAGCAUUAGGAAUAAGGGCUGGGUAAGACCGGUGCCAGCCGCCGCGGUAAUACCGGCAGCUCUAGUGGUAGCCACUUUUAUUGGGCCUAAAGCGUCCGUAGCCGGUCAGGUAAAUCCUUGGGUAAAUCGUACAGCUUAACUGUGCGGCUUCCGGGGAGACUGCUUGACUUGGGACCGGGAGAGGUUGGAGGUACUCCUGGGGUAGGGGUGAAAUCCUGUAAUCCUAGGUGGACCACCGGUGGCGAAGGCGUCCAACCAGAACGGCUCCGACGGUGAGGGACGAAGGCUAGGGGCGCAAACCGGAUUAGAUACCCGGGUAGUCCUAGCUGUAAACGCUGCAGACUUGGUGUUGGAGAUCCUACGAGGGUGUCCAGUGCCGGAGAGAAGUUGUUAAGUUUGCCGCCUGGGAAGUAUGGCCGCAAGGCUGAAACUUAAAGGAAUUGGCGGGGGAGCACCGCAACGGGAGGAGCGUGCGGUUUAAUUGGAUUCAACGCCGGAAAACUCACCGGGGGCGACGGUUAUAUGAAGGCCAGUUUGAAGACAUUGCCUGAUUUUCCGAGAGGUGGUGCAUGGCCGUCGUCAGUUCGUACCGCAAGGCGUUCUGUUAAGUCAGAUAACGAACGAGACCCCUGUCCUUAUUUGCUAAGUUAUCCUUUGGGAUGACAGCACUAUAAGGAGACCGCCACUGCUAAAGUGGAGGAAGGAGGGGGCAACGGUAGGUCAGUAUGCCCCGAAUCCCCCGGGCCACACGCGCGCUACAAAGGAUAGGACAAUGGGCUCCGACACCGAGAGGUGAAGGCAAUCCCGAAACCUAUUCAUAGUUCGGAUUGAGGGCUGUAACCCGCCCUCAUGAAGCUGGAUUCCGUAGUAAUCGCGGGUCAACAUCCCGCGGUGAAUAUGCCCCUGCUCCUUGCACACACCGCCCGUCAAACCAUCCGAGUUGGGUCUAAGUGAGGGCUUCUCUUUUUUGGGGAGUUCAAACUUGGGUUCGGCAAGGAGGGUUAAGUCGUGACAAGGUA
rnacentral:rRNA from 1 species